UUACGACCACAUCACAUUGAAACACCGGCUCUCGUAUGAUCACCGAAGUUAAGCAAUGUUGAGCCUUGUCAGUACUUUGGGAAUACCAGGUGUUGUAAG